GUCGGGAUGGCGAAACUGGUAAACGCGCCAGCCCUAGGAGCUGGUGGGGCAACCCUUGGGAGUUCGACUCUCCCUCCCGACA
rnacentral:tRNA from 1 species